GGGGAUUUAGCUCAGUGGUAGAGUGCUUGCCUAGCAAGUGCAAGCAAGGCCCUGGGUUCAGUCCCCA
rnacentral:tRNA from 1 species